rnacentral:rRNA from 1 species
CUACGGGUCGCAGCAGUGAGGAAUAUUGCGCAAUGGGGGAAACCCUGACGCAGCGACGCCGCGUGGAUGAUGAAGGCCUUCGGGUUGUAAAAUCCUGUCAGAUGGGAAGAAUUGUUCCAUGUCUAAUAUAUGUGGGACUUGACGGUACCGUCAAAGGAAGCACCGGCUAACUCCGUGCCAGCAGCCGCGGUAAUACGGAGGGUGCAAGCGUUGUUCGGAAUUACUGGGCGUAAAGCGCGCGUAGGCGGUCUGUUAAGUCAGAUGUGAAAGCCCAUGGCUCAACCAUGGACGUGCAUUUGAUACUGGCAGACUUGAGUACUGGAGGGGGUGGUGGAAUUCCCGGUGUAGAGGUGAAAUUCGUAGAUAUCGGGAGGAAUACCGGUGGCGAAGGCGACCACCUGGCCAGAUACUGACGCUGAGGUGCGAAAGCGCGGGGAGCAAACAGGAUUAGAUACCCUGGUAGUC